rnacentral:rRNA from 1 species
UACGUAGGGGGCAAGCGUUAUCCGGAUUCACUGGGCGUAAAGGGAGCGCAGGCGGCACGGCAAGUCUGGUGUGAAAACCCGGGGCUCAACCCCGGGACUGCAUUGGAAACUGCCGGGCUGGAGUGUCGGAGGGGUAAGCGGAAUUCCUAGUGUAGUGGUGAAAUGCGUAGAUAUUAGGAGGAACACCAGUGGCGAAGGCGGUCUGCUGGACAGCAACUGACGCUGAGGCGCGAAAGCGUGGGGAGCAAACAGG